AUUGAACGCUGGCGGAAUGCUUUACACAUGCAAGUCGAACGGUAGAGGGGGCAACCCCUCGAGAGUGGCGAACGGGUGAGUAAUAUAUCGGAACGUGCCCAGUCGUGGGGGAUAACGUAGCGAAAGUUACGCUAAUACCGCAUACGAUCUACGGAUGAAAGCGGGGGAUCGCAAGACCUCGCGCGAUUGGAGCGGCAGAUAUCAGAUUGGGUAGCUGGUGAGGUAAAGGCUCACCAAGCCAACGAUCUGUAGCUGGUCUGAGAGGACGACCAGCCACACUGGAACUGAGACACGGUCCAGACUCCUACGGGAGGCAGCAGUGGAGAAUUUUGGACAAUGGACGCAAGUCUGAUCCAGCCAUUCCGCGUGCAGGAUGAAGGCCCUCGGGUUGUAAACUGCUUUUGUACGGAACGAAAAGGUCUCUCUUAAUACGGGGGGCUCAUGACGGUACCGUAAGAAUAAGCACCGGCUAACUACGUGCCAGCCGCCGCCGUAACAC
rnacentral:rRNA from 1 species